GCUCCCUUAUCCCAAUUUGGCAGAGGAAACUGUCUUAGAAACAGUCUAGUGUGGGUUCAAAUCCCACAGGGAGUACCA
rnacentral:tRNA from 1 species